rnacentral:rRNA from 1 species
GACGAACGCUGGCGGCGUGCUUAAUACAUGCAAGUCGAGCGAACGAACGAGAAGCUUGCUUCUCUGAUGUUAGCGGCGGAGGGGUGAGUAACACGUGGAUAACCCCCCUAUAAGACCGUGAUAACUUCGGAACACCGGUGAUAAUACCGGAUGAUAUUUUGAAACGCAUGGUUCAUAGGUGAAAGACGGUCUUGCUGUCAUUUAUCGAUGGCUCCGCGCUGAAUUAGCUAGUUGGUAAGUUAACGGCGUACCAAGGCAACGAUGCAUAGCCGACCUGAGAGGGUGAGCGGCCACACUGGCACAGAGACACGGUCCAGACGCCUACGGGAGGAAGCAGUAGGGAAGCAUCCGCAAUGGGCGAAUGCCUGACGGAGCAACGCCGCGUGAGUGAUGAAGGGCUUCGGAGCGUAAACCUCUGUUAUUAGGGAAGAACAUAUGUGUAAGUAACUGUGCACAUCUUGACGGUACCUAAUCAGAAAGCCACGGCUAACUACGUG